GACGAACGCUGGCGGCGUGCCUAAUACAUGCAAGUUGAGCGCUGAAGGUUGGUACUUGUACCAACUGGAUGAGCAGCGAACGGGUGAGUAACGCGUGGGGAAUCUGCCUUUGAGCGGGGGACAACAUUUGGAAACGAAUGCUAAUACCGCAUAAAAACUUUAAACACAAGUUUUAAGUUUGAAAGAUGCAAUUGCAUCACUCAAAGAUGAUCCCGCGUUGUAUUAGCUAGUUGGUGAGGUAAAGGCUCACCAAGGCGAUGAUACAUAGCCGACCUGAGAGGGUGAUCGGCCACAUUGGGACUGAGACACGGCCCAAACUCCUACGGGAGGCAGCAGUAGGGAAUCUGCGGCAAUGGACGAAAGUCUGACCGAGCAACGCCGCGUGAGUGAAGAAGGUUUUCGGAUCGUAAAACUCUGUUGGUAGAGAAGAACGUUGGUGAGAGUGGAAAGCUCAUCAAGUGACGGUAACUACCCAGAAAGGGACGGCUAACUACGUG
rnacentral:rRNA from 1 species